AGGACGAACGCUGGCGGCGUGCUUAACACAUGCAAGUCAAGGGGGCCCGGUAGCAAUACUGGGCAACCGGCGAACGGGUGCGUAACACGUGAGCAACCUACCGAAAUGUGGGGGAUAGCCGGUCUAACGGCCGAGUAAUACCGCAUACGCUCUCGAUGAGGCAUUUCAUUGAGAGGAAACCUACGGGACAUUUCGAGGGGCUCGCGGCCUAUCAGCUAGUUGGAGAGGUAACGGCUCACCAAGGCAACGACGGGUAGCUGGUCUGAGAGGAUGGCCAGCCACAUUGGGACUGAGAUACGGCCCAGACUCCUACGGGAGGCAGCAGUGGGGAAUCGUUGCGCAAUGGCCUAACGGCUGACGCAGCGACGCCGCGUGUGGGAUGGAAG
rnacentral:rRNA from 1 species